rnacentral:lncRNA from 1 species
UCCACUUUCCCUUCCAAUUGGGAUUGCUUUCUUUUCUCUCCCAAGUGGGACUGAGGUUUCCUCACUUGGGCACUUCAGCUGGAGUGCUAUCAAAAAGAGACCUAUCAUGACAGCCCUCCAAAAGACACAACAAGCAGCUGAAAGACUCUGAUGCAUAUAUUUGCACUUACCCAAUGGACAGAAGCAGCUGACCCUUGUUGUUGAGUUAGGGAAGGUGGAAAGAAGCUGAGAAGGGCGAUCCUGUAGGAGGACCAGCAGUCUCAAUUAAUCUGGAUGCCCGGAUCUCUCAAACACUGGACCACCAAACAGACAGCAUACACUAGCUGAUAAGAGGCCCCCAACACACAUAGAGUGGAGGACUUCUGGUUCUGUGUUCACUCAGAGAUGAUGCACCUAACCCUCAAGAGACCGGAGGCCCCAGGAAGUUUAGAGUUCAGGUGGGGUGGGGGAAUGUGUGGGGCUUUGGGCUAUGCACAGACAGGCUGGUCUCCAGUUGAGCUGAGGUCUGAACCCCGGAAUGGUCAUAAUUCACCUACAUGACAUGGUAGGCAUUCCCUCAUGCGCUCCUGGAACUCUGGCUCUUGCCUAAGUUACCACCGCCCCCCCACAACCCCCACAGGAGAAGCAUGGCUAGAAGUCAUGGAGACAAGGUCCCAAGCUUCUGACCCUCAGGCUAAAUUCCUCCCCAGUUACCUAGCAACAGUAAGAUAAGACAGCAUUCUUUAAAAGGGGCUGUUCAGCUUCUCCUCUCUCUCUAACUCCUUUGUUCUCUUACCUCUUACUUCUCACUCUACUCUCUUCUCUCUCUUUGUCUUCUCCUCUCCUCCUUCCUCUCCUCUCUCUCCCUCUUACUCUUUUUCUCUAGCCUUUCCUCCCUCUCUCUCUCUCUCUCUCUCUCUCUCUCUCUCUCUCACUCUUUUCUACAUUCUCUCUUUCUCCCUGCCUUUCUAUAAUAAAUCUCUAAAACCAUAGAAUGCCCCUGCUCAUCAAGGCUUUCCGCUCUUGGAGGACAAGAUAGGCUUUCUCCUAAUGAGCCGUUUCUAAUCUUCAGAUGGAAGGCCUUCCUGUGCUCCAGCCAAGAUCCUCUGCACUGGUAUGGGAACCUCUCAUCCUCCCUUCCCUCUCUCCUAUAACCCGGGGGCUUUAGGAAAGUAGCACUGGGGCUCCCAGGAUGGGCUGCCCCUUGUUCACCCCCUGAAGGGUGGGUCAAAUGCUUGAAUGCCCACUGGAGCCUGAGUGGAGCACAUAUGGCAGCCCUCCCACAUCCCCUGACCAGAGUAUAGGUAGAACUCUGGCAGGGAGUGGGU